CACUUUCUCAUGGGGAACCAGGCUUCGCUCCACCCUGGAGCCAGGGUACGGAGAUGUCCGGGCCUUCUCGUGGGGCUUCUCAGCAGUGCGCUUCGAACCUGAGGCAACUGGUCAUCUCCUUCAUGCUGAAGAAAGCUGCCAUCCUGCCCAGGGAGGAGUAGGACAAGAAGAGGGGAGAAGACUCUGAGGGGGAAAAGAAGUCAGGCGGAGAUAUAUGGGAACACAAAGAAAAAAUGAGAGCCAGAGUACACAAGACGAGAGAGAAAAAAGAAAUGUUAAGGGAGUGACGGCGAAGAAGAGGAUAGAACGGUAACGGAAGCAGAAGGGCAAAGAGGGACAAGUAAGAAGGAGAGAAUUCUAGGACCUGGGAAGAGAAAGUUCCUGCUGCACUGCGGAAUCCGGCCUAAAGGAAGAGGCAACCAGGUGCAGCACCCAAGCCCAGGUGCCACUCAUUUGCCGCUGGGCUCUCAGACCCAUUCUCCUUUUGCGGCUGUCACAUAUUCUGUAGGGAUUCUGAGCCCUGCCCUCUGUCAUCUUGUCCACUGGCUUCUCCUGCUUUCCACCACUGGGUGGCCUUGGAGGGUGGGAGGAAGGGAGAAGCCAGGGGGACUCUCAUCCCCUACUUUGGAAGAUGUCUGCCACAGUAGUUGCACUAACUUUGUGGCUCCAACUCCUAUUGGACAAGCCCUCCAGGGUUCUGGCUGUCUCCUCUCUUUGCCCCUCCAGCCUCAGGGGAGAAGGCACGUCCAGCAGUUGCUAACCUCAGGAUUGCCUCACCUUACCCUAGUUGAACGUCCAGUUCUUUCAACACUUGUAACUAAUUUGCUGCAUUAAAUUAUUGCUAUUGA